rnacentral:piRNA from 1 species
UGUCAGGUCACUUGAGUCGUUGAUGGA